CGUGUAGGCGGUAUCAUAAGUCAGAUGUGAAAGCCCUAGGCUUAACCUAGGAGGUGCAUUUGAUACUAUGGAACUAGAGAUCGAGAGAGGAAAGUGGAAUUACGAGUGUAGAGGUGAAAUUCGUAGAUAUUCGUAAGAACACCAGUGGCGAAGGCGACUCUCUGGCUCGAUACUGACGCUAAGGCGCGAAAGCGUGGGGAGCAAACAGGAUUAGAUACCCUGGUAGUCCACGCUGUAAACGAUGAGUGCUAGAUGUUGGUGGAGGAAUUCAUCAGUGUCGCAGCUAACGCAUUAAGCACUCCGCCUGGGGAGUACGGUCGCAAGAUUAAA
rnacentral:rRNA from 1 species